CCUGCCCAACAGAGGCGUUGCAGGUAUGGCUGCCAUGUUGCAUGUGCAUCAGUAGGUGGCAGAAGGAGAGCGGCUAUGUCUAUGCUCAGUGUUUGAUCUGGGAACAUCCGAAUGAUUAGUAGCCUAACCCU